UACGAAGGGUGCAAACGUUGCUCGGAAUUAUUGGGCGUAAAGCGCACGUAGGCGGCUUUGCAAGUCCCAUGUGAAAUCCCACGGCUCAACCGUGGAAGUGCAUGGGAAACUGCAGAGCUUGAGUACUUAAGAGGAUCGCGGAAUUCCCGGUGUAGAGGUGAAAUUCGUAGAUAUCGGGAGGAACACCAGUGGCGAAGGCGGCUACCUGGCCCAUUCUUGACGCUGAGGCGCGAAAGCUAGGGGAGCAAACGGG
rnacentral:rRNA from 1 species